GACGAACGCUGGCGGCGUGCCUAACACAUGCGAGUCGAACGGAGAUAUGAUUUCGGUUGUAUCUUAGUGGCGAACGGGUGAGUAACGCGUGAGCAACCUGACUCUUAGAGGGGGAUAACACCCGGAAACGAGUGCUAAUACCGCAUAAGACCACGACAUGGCAUCAUGACGAGGUCAAAGGAGCAAUCCGCUGAGAGAGGGGCUCGCGUCCCAUUAGAUAGAUGGCGGGGUAACGGCCCACCAUGUCAACGAUGGGUAGCCGAGCUGAGAGGCUGAUCGGCCACACUGGAACUGAGACACGGUCCAGACUCCUACGGGAGGCAGCAGUGGGGAAUAUUGGGCAAUGGGCGCAAGCCUGACCCAGCAACGCCGCGUGAGGGAAGAAGGCUUUCGGGUUGUAAACCUCUGUCCUUGGUGACGAAACAAAUGACGGUAGCCAAGGAGGAAGCCCCGGCUAACUACGUGCCAGCCGCCGCAGUAA
rnacentral:rRNA from 1 species